ACGUAAAUAAAGCGAAAAGGUUUUUUCUUAAUUCCGCAUGCACUUAAUUUAUAACACAUAAAAUAUAAUAUGAUACCGUAGUAAAGUAUAAACGGCGUAUGCAAUGCGUAUAAAAAAAAGCAAAACAGCCUAAGAACAAUUUCCGAUGAAUACCUAAUAGUCAAUCCGAUGAAAUUCACCGACCACGUUAACAGCGUAACAGCAGCUGCAGUCGACUACAGUGCAGUGAUCGCUGAUUCGUCAAUCGUCGAAGCGUUCAAUGGAGGAGUGAAGAGGUCUGUGACCAUGGACUGCAGUGAUCGAUUCACCACGGCCUCGAUGCCUCUCCGAGACCAAAUCAAACCUACUCCUUGCCCUUGGCCGUUCCACGAUUACACGAA